CCUACGGGUGGCAGCAGUGAGGAAUAUUGGUCAAUGGACGAGAGUCUGAACCAGCCAAGUAGCGUGAAGGAUGACUGCCCUAUGGGUUGUAAACUUCUUUUAUAUGGGAAUAAAAUGUUCCACGUGUGGGAUUUUGUAUGUACCAUAUGAAUAAGGAUCGGCUAACUCCGUGCCAGCAGCCGCGGUAAUACGGAGGAUCCGAGCGUUAUCCGGAUUUAUUGGGUUUAAAGGGAGCGUAGGUGGAUUGUUAAGUCAGUUGUGAAAGUUUGCGGCUCAACCGUAAAAUUGCAGUUGAAACUGGCAGUCUUGAGUACAGUAGAGGUGGGCGGAAUUCGUGGUGUAGCGGUGAAAUGCUUAGAUAUCACGAAGAACUCCGAAUGCGAAGGCAGUUCACUGGACUGCAACUGACACUGAGGCUCGAAAGUGUGGGUAUCAAACAGGAUUAGAUACCCGAGUAGUC
rnacentral:rRNA from 1 species